rnacentral:rRNA from 1 species
GACAGAGGGUGCAAACGUUGCUCGGAAUUACUGGGCGUAAAGCGCGUGUAGGCCGGUUGGUAAGUCGGAUGUGAAAUCCCCGGGCUCAACCUGGGAACUGCAUCCGAUACUGGCCGACUCGAGUGCGAGAGAGGGAGGUAGAAUUCCACGUGUAGCGGUGAAAUGCGUAGAUAUCAGGAGGAACACCGGUGGCGAAGGCGGCUCUCUGGACGGUGACUGACGCUGAGACGCGAAAGCGUGGGGAGCAAACAGG